rnacentral:rRNA from 1 species
AACGCGAAGAACCUUACCAGCUUUUGACAUGUCCAGUAUGGUCGCCAGAGAUGGCUUCCUUCCCGCAAGGGGCUGGAACACAGGUGCUGCAUGGCUGUCGUCAGCUCGUGUCGUGAGAUGUUGGGUUAAGUCCCGCAACGAGCGCAACCCUCGCCCUUAGUUGCCAUCAUUCAGUUGGGCACUCUAGGGGGACUGCCGGUGAUAAGCCGCGAGGAAGGUGGGGAUGACGUCAAGUCCUCAUGGCCCUUACAGGCUGGGCUACACACGUGCUACAAUGGCGGUGACAAUGGGAAGCGAAGGGGUGACCCGGAGCAAAUCUCCAAAAGCCGUCUCAGUUCGGAUUGCACUCUGCAACUCGAGUGCAUGAAGGGGAAUCGCUAGUAAUCGCAGAUCAGCACGCUGCGGUGAAUACGUUCCCGGGUCUUGUACACACCG